rnacentral:rRNA from 1 species
CCUAAGCUUGACAUGGGGAUGAAAAGCGAUGUGAAGUCGUAAUAGUAGCUUGCUACACAUCCCACACAGGUGGUGCAUGGUUGUCGUCAGCUCGCGUCGUGAGAUGUUGGGUUAAGUCCCGCAACGAGCGCAACCCCUAUUAAUAGUUGCCAGUGCGUAAAGGCAGGCACUCUAGUAAGACAGUUAGGGAUAACCUAAAGGAAGGUGGGGAUGACGUCAAAUCAUCAUGCCCCUUAUGCUUAGGGCUACACACGUGCUACAAUGGCCGUAACAAGGAGAAGCGAAUCUGUGAAGAAGAGCAAACCUGAAAAAAACGGUCUAAGUUCGGAUUGUAGGCUGAAACUCGCCUACAUGAAGUCGGAGUUACUAGUAAUCGCAAAUCAGAAUGUUGCGGUGAAUGCGUUCCC